rnacentral:rRNA from 1 species
CCUUAGACGGCUCGCUCCCUAAAAGGGUUACGCCACCGGCUUCGGGUGUUACAAACUCUCAUGGUGUGACGGGCGGUGUGUACAAGGCCCGGGAACGUAUUCACCGCGGCGUGCUGAUCCGCGAUUACUAGCGAUUCCGACUUCGUGUAGGCGAGUUGCAGCCUACAGUCCGAACUGAGAAUGGCUUUAAGAGAUUAGCUUGACCUCGCGGUCUCGCAACUCGUUGUACCAUCCAUUGUAGCACGUGUGUAGCCCAGGUCAUAAGGGGCAUGAUGAUUUGACGUCAUCCCCACCUUCCUCCGGUUUGUCACCGGCAGUCUUACUAGAGUGCCCAACUAAAUGCUGGCAACUAGUCAUAAGGGUUGCGCUCGUUGCGGGACUUAACCCAACAUCUCACGACACGAGCUGACGACAACCAUGCACCACCUGUCAUUUUGCCCCCGAAGGGGAAACCUGAUCUCUCAGGUGAUCAAAAGAUGUCAAGACCUGGUAAGGUUCUUCGCGUUGCUUCGAAUUAAACCACAUGCUCCACCGCUUGUGCGGGCCCCCGUCAAUUCCUUUGAGUUUCAACCUUGCGGUCGUACUCCCCAGGCGGAAUGCUUAAUGCGUUAGCUGCGGCACUGAAGGGCGGAAACCCUCCAACACCUAGCAUUCAUCGUUUACGGCAUGGACUACCAGGGUAUCUAAUCCUGUUCGCUACCCAUGCUUUCGAGCCUCAGCGUCAGUUACAGACCAGACAGCCGCCUUCGCCACUGGUGUUCUUCCAUAUAUCUACGCAUUUCACCGCUACACAUGGAGUUCCACUGUCCUCUUCUGCACUCAAGUUUCCCAGUUUCCGAUGCACUUCCUCGGUUAAGCCGAGGGCUUUCACAUCAGACUUAAAAAACCGCCUGCGCUCGCUUUACGCCCAAUAAAUCCGGAUAACGCUUGCCACCUACGUAUUACCGCGGCUGCUGGCACGUAGUUAGCCGUGGCUUUCUGGUUGGAUACCGUCACGCCGACAACAGUUACUCUGCCGACCAUUCUUCUCCAACAACAGAGUUUUACGACCCGAAAGCCUUCUUCACUCACGCGGCGUUGCUCCAUCAGACUUGCGUCCAUUGUGGAAGAUUCCCUACUGCUGCCUCCCGUAGGAGUUUGGGCCGUGUCUCAGUCCCAAUGUGGCCGAUCAACCUCUCAGUUCGGCUACGUAUCAUUGCCUUGGUGAGCCGUUACCUCACCAACUAGCUAAUACGCCGCGGGUCCAUCCAAAAGCGAUAGCUUACGCCAUCUUUCAGCCAAGAACCAUGCGGUUCUUGGAUUUAUGCGGUAUUAGCAUCUGUUUCCAAAUGUUAUCCCCCACUUAAGGGCAGGUUACCCACGUGUUACUCACCCGUCCGCCACUCGUUCAAAAUUAAAUCAAGAUGCAAGCACCUUUCAAUAAUCAGAACUCGUUCGACUUGCAUGUAUU